rnacentral:lncRNA from 1 species
UAAAUUUUCUUUAGACCUUGAUUCUGUCAGUUGGGAUGAACUUUUUUCUGAUGUUGAGGAUGUUGACGAGAUGUGCAAUACAUUUACUCAAAAACUACUAGACAUAGCCAGGCAAAACAUCCCAACUCGACAUGUUUAUAUACGAAACAAUGACCGACCGUGGUUUGACAAUGAAUUAAGGAGAGAAAUUCGUAGAAGAGACCGAUUUCGUAAAAAAGCCUUAAAAACUAAAAAAGAUUGUGAUAUCAAUAAAUACAAAAAGCAGAGGAACAGAGUAAAUAAUAUGAAAAAGCUGCAAAAGAAAAAUUUGAAAGAAGUUUGGAUAAUCUUAUCUUAAAUAACGUGGCUAACCCUAAAACUUAUUGGAAAAUAAUGAAAAUGCUUAUAAAAUCAAAUAAAGGUUCUGGUGAUUUACCCCCACUCAAUAAUAUUAUUCACGAUGAAAGCAUGGAAGAUGUAGUGUACGGAGACGACGAGAAAUGUAAUCUGCUAAAUAAAUAUUUUAGUCUGAUUUCUUCCCUAGAGGAGGAAGGUGUUCCCAUACCCG